GUGUGUGUGUGUUGGGGGGUGGGUUGCGUUGUUGCUGCCUGGAUGUGAUGCGGCGGGGAGGGCCCGGCGGGGAGGACCCCCCCCGGGGCUGUGGGGGCCGUGUGUGACGGCGGGAGGGAUCCGUGGGGCUGCGGGGACAGUGUGUGCCGGCCGGGGGGGGGACCCCGUGGCUGCGGGAGCCGUGUGUGGUGGCCGGGGAACAGCAGCGGUGCCGGGAUGGGGUGACGGCGCAGGCACGGGUGCUCUGCCCCGCUCCCGGGAAGGGGCCUCGCAGAAGCGGAGGGGAGGGAGCUGCUGCAAUUUCACCCUUGAAUGCCAAGUUUUUAAUGCGGAGGUUACGGAGCCAUAGAAAUGUUGGCUGGAAGCGACCUCUGGAGGUCUCUAGCCCAAACGCCCCCUCGGAGCGGGACCCACGGGCAGCAGGUCGCAUCAGCCGUGGCUUUGUCUGGUGGGGAGUUGAAAACCUCCAGGGACAGAGGCCCCUCCACCUCCCUGGGUGACCUACGGCAGUGUUGCCUCACUGCCUAGUGAAGGAGAUUCUCCUGGGUCCAGCCUGACCCUCCCACUGACCCCGACCACUUCUUUGGCUGUCGUUCCCUCUUGUGCUGCCUGCCACUGCCAAGAAGAGUUUGGCUCUGUCAUUUUAAUAACCGUCUUUAAGUAGCUUUAAGCUGCGAUUAGAGCUGCCGUCAGCUGCCUCCUUGCCAAAGCCAACAAGCUGCCCCUUGGAGUUCAUGUGCACCAGGUUGUUUCACUACAGAAAAGGGGGUGGGGAUGCAGCCUAUAUUUAAGAGAAAUUCCUAAAGCUUUAAUGGGGACUGAGAGCUUGAAGAAGUGUCUGAGUUGUCCUAGUCGCACCCAAGCCUCACAGCAGUUGGGAGAUACUGAUGUCCCCGGCUGCUGCAGGUGGGAUCUCUUGGUGGGAACAGCGCCUGAAAAUAUAGUGAGCAAACAGACCGUGGAGGAGUUACAGUCCUGUGUGGGAGAUCCCCGGCUUGAAGGAUGUGGUGGGGUAGCAAGGGGAGGGAUGCUCAGUUGCUGAUUUUCAUCUAUGGCCACGCAGAAGACUGCAGGCUCCACAGGUCCCAGGGCCUCGCCUUCCACAAACCUUCCGGGGGGGGGAAGGUCUUUAAAACCCACAUCGGAGCGGGUGUCGGUGCGUGCGGGUCAGCACACUCCUGGCAUGCUGUCGGAGCUGCAGACGCUUCUGUACUGUGCAAUUCUCCCUGCUGCUGCAGUGACUAAUGGGGGUAAUGGGGGUCCCGGACUACAGAGAAGCUGAACUGGAGAAGAUGCAGUUCAGCUGCUGUACAAGGCCGUCCGUGCCUCUUUUCCUAUUUAUACAAAGAGAAAUUUAGGAUUACAGUCCCGUUUGAGUCAAACCAAAGGAAACUAGCAGGACAACAUUUGUACCUUCCCAGUCUGGUUCCCCAAUAACCUCUCCAUCAGCUAUUUGCAUUUCAAUGGCUUUCCAAGCCUCUGGUAAUUGUUGGGGGAGGAGGCGGGUAAAAAGGCUAUUAUGUUAGAGUUAGAUCAGCUUUAGCAAGCCUGAAGGCAUGAGAGAGCAUCGCAGCAGCUGAUGCAACCCGUGACAGUAUAUUGUUUGCUGUUCUGUGUGAGUCUGGGGUGCGCACCAAUGCUUGUGAGUUGAUUCAUAAUUACAAAGAAAUGUAUGAAUGUAGCAUUCAAUUAGCAGGAAAGCAGCAGCAGCAGUGCCGCGCUCCGAAGCUGGAGGGAAACGGGGCAGUACGAACCAGGAAUUCACGUUGGAACCGCUCAUCUGGCUGAACCCCCCGACGCCCGAGGGUGCCAUCCCUGGCCCCCCCUGCCCGGCCAGAGCUGGGGCUGUGUGCGGCAGGCCCAAGACGUGGCUUUAAGAGGGGCCGAGCCCAAGGCAGAUGGUGAGCCUGGGGACUCGCCAGCAAGUGACUCAGCAUCGCCUGACCUGUGCCCAGGAGUCCAGGCUAUUCUUGGUUCGGGCUGUGUUUAAGGCAGACAGCCCAGGCUUAAACGCUUCCAAUUGCUCGGCCGAGGAUCUGCUGGAGCCUCGCACACGUUAUGUUGCUCAGGAUUGCAGUGCCGUCUUCCCCUCGGAUCGCUUUCCUUCAAGCUCGAGGGGGCUACGACCUUUUCAUUUUCUUUUCUGGAGCUAGAUUAAAUCUUUAAAUAGCAGAAUAAACAGCCACUGGAGAAACUUUCAGUGGGAAAAUAUA